UACGGGGGGGGCAAGCGUUGUCCGGAGUUACUGGGCGUAAAGGGCGUGUAGGCGGCUUUUUAAGUCAGAUGUGAAAGAUCAGGGCUUAACCCUGGAGGUGCAUUUGAGACUGGAAGGCUUGAGGAUCGGAGAGGGCAGUGGAAUUCCCAGUGUAGCGGUGAAAUGCGUAGAUAUUGGGAGGAACACCAGUGGCGAAGGCGACUGCCUGGACGACACCUGACGCUGAGGCGCGAAAGCUAGGGGAGCGAACGGG
rnacentral:rRNA from 1 species